rnacentral:snRNA from 1 species
GUGCUCACUUCGGCAGCAUACAUACUAAAAUGGAAACGAUACAGAGAACAUUAGCAUGGCCCCUGCGCAAGGAUGACACACAAAUUUGUGAAGCAUUCCAUAUUUCU